GGAGGGGAGCCUAGGCCCGGCGUGGGGAGGCCGGCAGGAAGGGCCUCGAGCCCAGUGCGGACCUUUCUUCAGCCUCUGUGCGACCGAGCCGCGCGCCAGGCUCCUGUGCGAGGAGGACGCGCUGACUCCCUCCGACCUGGGCUCCGAUGGAGCAGAAAUAGCGGGACCUGGACUUGUGGCGCGCCUGGUGCCACAUCUCGGGCUCUGCGAGCGUCCUGGCGCGGGAUCCUGCCGUUUGCAUCCAAGAGAGGGGAGGACAGGGGCAAAAGGAUGCAGGGAGGCUGCUGAUUUCCACUGAAGAGCUAAUUUCCUGUGAGACAUUAACAGUGAUUUAAGAAAAAGAUUCCUGUAACUGAGACAAUUAGGAAAAAAGUAAACAAACGGAGCAGGAUUUGGGCAUAACAGCAUGCUCCUCCCAUCCCCCAAAUCCCAGGAGUGUCACUGAGUAAUGUCUUACAAUAACAGAAUGCAGGAGAGCACAUAUCAAUGAAGAAAAGACAAAAUGUACUUAUCCAUGAAGCUGAGGUUAAGAAACCAGUGUCUUCAAGAGCCAGGGACAGCACUGGGUCUGUGCAGAGUUGAGAGAUGGUGAUGACAUGCCUACAGCACAGCUGAUGAAAGAGAAGACAUCUUGCUGCUAUUUGACAAGCAAGAAGAUAAAAGCUUUCCUAUAAAGAUGAUGGAGCAAAAAAAUAGAAGGGGCCUAGACUCCCUACCUUCACACUUCCUGCUAUAAAAGCAUUGCUAUUAUAAGGUUAAUCUGCAGAAACAGACUUCUAUGUCAUAUGCUUAAAUGCAUCAAAAUUCAUACAAUAUCCAUUAAAUUGGUAAAAGUAUCCAUUUUAAAGGAUUAAUCUGAGGGACCCACAGACACUUAACACAAUCAAAUCUCAGAAAAAAAAUCAGUUAUUUCAUUGUGAUUUUGAGGCUGAUCUUUUAUGAUCUUUUAGUUAUCAAACUGUUAAAUACAUUUUAACUUUCAAAUUUUAUGAAUAAAGGAGAUGAAUCCUGUUA
rnacentral:lncRNA from 1 species